GGUGAACGCUGGCGGCGUGCCUAACACAUGCAAGUCGAUCGGAGCAGCAAUGCUUAGAGGCGAACGGGUGAGGAAAACGUAGUAACCAACCCUUUAGACUGGGAUAGCCACUGGAAACGGUGGGUAAUACCGGAUAAGCUCGAGAGAGGAAAGGCAGAGAAGCGCUAAAGGACGGAACUGCGCCCCAUCAGAUAGUUGGUGAGGUAAAGGCUUACCAAGUCAAAGACGGGAAACCGACGUGAGAGCGUGUACGGUCACAAGGGCACUGAGAGACGGGCCCUACUCCUACGGGAGGCAGCAGUGGGGAAUAUUGGACAAUGGACGAAAGUCUGAUCCAGCGACGCCGCGUGGAGGAAGAAGGUCUUCGGAUUGUAAACUGCUGUGGUAAGGGAAAAUGCUAUGUAGAGUGGAAAGCUACAUAGAGGGAUGGUACCUUACUAGAAAGCCCCGGCUAACUACGUG
rnacentral:rRNA from 1 species